rnacentral:rRNA from 1 species
ACGCUCGACACCUACUGGAGGCAGCAGUCGGGAAUAUUGCGCAAUGGAGGAAACUCUGACGCAGUGACGCCGCGUAUAGGAAGAAGGUUUUCGGAUUGUAAACUAUUGUCGUUAGGGAAGAGAAAGGACAGUACCUAAGGAGGAAGCUCCGGCUAACUACGUGCCAGCAGCAGCGGUAAUCUGAGCGGGCUGGCAAGGC